GCCAAUAUAGCUCAGCCUGGUUAGAGCAUCAGAUUUGUAAUCUGAGGGUCGUGGGUUCGGAUCCCAUUAUUGGCUCUU
rnacentral:tRNA from 1 species